rnacentral:rRNA from 1 species
CAGCUUUAGAGAUAGAGUUUUCUUCGGACAGGAUCACAAGGUGCUGCAUGGUUGUCGUCAGCUCGUGCCGUGAGGUGUCAGGUUAAGUCCUAUAACGAGCGCAACCCCUACCGUUAGUUAGCUAGCAGGUCAUGCUGAGGACUCUAACGGGACUGCCUACGCAAGUAGAGAGGAAGGUGGGGAUGACGUCAAAUCAUCACGGCCCUUACGUCCUGGGCUACACACGUGCUACAAUGGUAUGGACAAUGAGCAGCCAUCUGGCAACAGAGAGCGAAUCUAUAAACCAUAUCACAGUUCGGAUCGGAGUCUGCAACUCGACUCCGUGAAGGCGGAAUCGCUAGUAAUCGCGCAUCAGCCAUGAUCCGGUGAAUACGUUCCCGGACCUUGUACACACC